rnacentral:rRNA from 1 species
UACGGAGGAUCCAAGCGUUAUCCGGAUUUAUUGGGUUUAAAGGGUGCGUAGGCGGCCUAUUAAGUCAGGGGUGAAAGACGGUAGCUUAACUAUCGCAGUGCCUUUGAUACUGAUGGGCUUGAAUACACUAGAGGUAGGCGGAAUGUGACAAGUAGCGGUGAAAUGCAUAGAUAUGUCUCAGAACACCGAUUGCGAAGGCAGCUGUCUAAGCGGUCAUUGACGCUGAUGCACGAAAGCGUGGGGAUCAAACAGG